rnacentral:lncRNA from 1 species
ACUUAGCCUUGUCCCUACCUCUUUACUCCUCUGUAGGCAGUAAUUCUUUUUUCUUUUCUUUCUUUUUUUUUUCUUUUGGUGUAACAGUAUCGCAUGAGCCAAGACUGUCAUGAAACUAUUUGGAUACUGUACUCUGGUUCCUUCAUCUCCUCCAUCUGCAUCAGCCUAAAUUGUCCUAUUUUUAGGUUUUCUAGUUCUGUUGUGCCCUUUAUUCAAUGCAAGCCAUCAACAAGUUCCUUAAACAUAAAACUCUGUGACACUCUAAACUGCAAGACAAUGUGACAAUGAGUAUGCCAGUCUGAAAAGAACAAAGGAGCAGGGUUCAGAAGAACUGGCCUUUACCAGCUCUGUCAUUUUCCAGUGGUGUGGCCUUGCAGAGGUCACUUCAGUUUUCCAGGCUUUGGCCAAAGAAAGGUGGGGGCAGGUGGUACCUUCCCAGCUCAAGUCUUCUGGAAUAGAGCGUACGCCCAUGAAGCCCUGCACCUGUUGGAGCUUCAUAGCUGUAAUCAAGGAGCCUCUGCCAUGAACCCGGGGAUAAGUGAGGAAAGAAAUUUUUCCUCCUUCACAGUAUCAAGUGCCAGGCCAGGGCACUUUGUCCAGGCCUCACUGUGAAGAAAGAGUAAUGUUCAAGGAUGGCAGCAGGAAGGUGAGAGGAUGAAACCAAAUGCUCUUGGAGGGCAUCGGGCUUGGUUGCCACUGAGAACUUCCAGAAGAGGCACAGCUCAACGCGGGGUGCCAGUAACCGUCAUGCCUUCCUGUCCCAGUGGGCUGACUUGAGACAAAGCACAGCUGUGGUCCACGCCUUGAGACUUCCACUGGGCAAGGAAGCCCAAGACCCUAAUGAAGAGGUUUAUCUGAUUGGUUUACUGGAGUCCUAUGUGGGAUGAAUAGCUUCAGCCUUUGCGCUUGCACCUCUUUGCUGUCCACUCCAAUCAAGAACGGGGGCCCUCGCAACUCUCUCAGUUCUGAAACAAAUUAAAUCUCA